UCCCAAUCCUGAAAACACUGACAAAUGCCAUUGAAGUCAAUGGACACUAUGGGCCUGAUCCAAAUCCAAUGGCAAGACUACCUUCCAAGUUUAUGAAUGUACACACUGCAGAGAAGCAUUGCUGCAACCUACUGCAAUGCAGAAGCUACAGUAAACACAGAAGUAAAGGGCCCUGGUGGAAAAGAAGCACAAGUUCAAGGACACUUUCAGGAAAAAUGUUUGGUUUGGGCAGAAGAUUCCAGACAGGACACUCAGCUUGAGUAACUCUUCUGUGAAGUUCUUCUGAAGUCACCUGCCAAGGACUGUAUUGCUUUUUAAUAAGAAGGAAGAAGGAACCUAUGAUGUAGCUAUGCAGUCCAA